GACUUUAAUAAUAAUUGUUUUGAAAGCAAUUAAGAAGAUCAUUCUUUGAAGUCG
rnacentral:tRNA from 1 species